rnacentral:rRNA from 1 species
UAAGCGGUUGAAGGUGUGUGGUAACGCAUGCUGGACGUAUCAGAAGUGCGAAUGCUGACAUGAGUAACGAUAAAGGGGGUGAAAAACCUCCUCGCCGGAAGACCAAGGGUUCCUGUCCAACGUUAAUCGGGGCAGGGUAAGUCGACCCCUAAGGCGAGGCCGAAAGGCGUAGUCGAUGGGAAACGGGUUAAUAUUCCCGUACUUCUUACAAUUGCGAUGGGGGGACGGAGAAGGCUAGGUGGGCCUGGCGACGGUUGUCCAGGUUCAAGUGCGUAGGCUUAAGAGUUAGGUAAAUCCGGCUCUUUUUAAGGCUGAGACACGACGUCGAGCACCUACGGGUGUGAAGUCAUUGAUGCCAUGCUUCCAGGAAAAGCCUCUAAGCUUCAGAUUGUAAGGAAUCGUACCCCAAACCGACACAGGUGGUCGGGUAGAGAAUACCAAGGCGCUUGAGAGAACUCGGGUGAAGGAACUAGGCAAAAUGGUACCGUAACUUCGGGAGAAGGUACGCUCUUGAUGGUGAAGUCCCUCGCGGAUGGAGCUGACGAGAGUCGCAGAUACCAGGUGGCUGCAACUGUUUAUUAAAAACACAGCACUGUGCAAAAUCGUAAGAUGACGUAUACGGUGUGACGCCUGCCCGGUGCCGGAAGGUUAAUUGAUGGGGUUAGACUUCGGUCGAAGCUCUUGAUCGAAGCCCCGGUAAACGGCGGCCGUAACUAUAACGGUCCUAAGGUAGCGAAAUUCCUUGUCGGGUAAGUUCCGACCUGCACGAAUGGCGUAAUGAUGGCCACGCUGUCUCCACCCGAGACUCAGUGAAAUUGAAAUCGCUGUGAAGAUGCAGUGUACCCGCGGCUAGACGGAAAGACCCCGUGAACCUUUACUACAGCUUGGCACUGAACAUUGACCCUACAUGUGUAGGAUAGGUGGGAGGCUUUGAAGCACGUACGCCAGUAUGUGUGGAGCCGUCCUUGAAAUACCACCCUUGUAGUGUUGAUGUUCUAACGUCGACCCCUUAUCGGGGUUGCGGACAGUGCCUGGUGGGUAGUUUGACUGGGGCGGUCUCCUCCCAAAGAGUAACGGAGGAGCACGAAGGUGGGCUAAUCACGGUUGGACAUCGUGAGGUUAGUGCAAUGGCAUAAGCCCGCUUGACUGCGAGAAUGACAAUUCGAGCAGGUGCGAAAGCAGGUCAUAGUGAUCCGGUGGUUCUGAAUGGAAGGGCCAUCGCUCAACGGAUAAAAGGUACUCCGGGGAUAACAGGCUGAUACCGCCCAAGAGUUCAUAUCGACGGCGGUGUUUGGCACCUCGAUGUCGGCUCAUCACAUCCUGGGGCUGAAGUCGGUCCCAAGGGUAUGGCUGUUCGCCAUUUAAAGUGGUACGCGAGCUGGGUUUAGAACGUCGUGAGACAGUUCGGUCCCUAUCUGCCGUGGGCGUUGGAAGAUUGAAGGGGGCUGCUCCUAGUACGAGAGGACCGGAGUGGACGAACCUCUGGUGUUCGGGUUGUGUCGCCAGACGCAUUGCCCGGUAGCUAAGUUCGGAAUCGAUAACCGCUGAAAGCAUCUAAGCGGGAAGCGAGCCCUGAGAUGAGUCUUCCCUGAUACUUUAAGUAUCCUAAAGGGUUGUCGGAGACUACGACGUUGAUAGGUCAGGUGUGUAAGUGCUGUGAGGCAUUGAGCUAACUGAUACUAAUUGCCCGUGAGGCUUAACCAU